UGGGGAAUAUUGCACAAUGGGCGAAAGCCUGAUGCAGCAACGCCGCGUGAGGGACGACGGCCUUCGGGUUGUAAACCUCUUUUAGCAAGGAAGAAGCGAAAGUGACGGUACUUGCAGAAAAAGCGCCGGCUAACUACGUGCCAGCAGCCGCGGUAAUACGUAGGGCGCAAGCGUUAUCCGGAAUUAUUGGGCGUAAAGAGCUCGUAGGCGGUUUGUCGCGUCUGCUGUGAAAACCCGAGGCUCAACCUCGGGCCUGCAGUGGGUACGGGCAGACUAGAGUGCGGUAGGGGAGAUUGGAACUCCUGGUGUAGCGGUGGAAUGCGCAGAUAUCAGGAAGAACACCGAUGGCGAAGGCAGAUCUCUGGGCCGUAACUGACGCUGAGGAGCGAAAGGGUGGGGAGCAAAACAGGCUUAGAUACCCUGGUAGUCCACCCGUAAACGUUGGGAACUAGUUGUGGGGUCCAUUCCACGGAUUCCGUGACGCAGCUAACGCAUUAAGUUCCCCGCCUGGGGAGUACGGCCGCAAGGCUAAAACUUGAAAUGAAUUGACGGGGUCAUAGCUGUUUCCU
rnacentral:rRNA from 1 species